CCUACGGGUGGCAGCAGUGAGGAAUAUUGGUCAAUGGACGAGAGUCUGAACCAGCCAAGUAGCGUGAAGGAUGACUGCCCUAUGGGUUGUAAACUUCUUUUAUAUGGGAAUAAAACGUUCCACGUGUGGGAUUUUGUAUGUACCAUAUGAAUAAGGAUCGGCUAACUCCGUGCCAGCAGCCGCGGUAAUACGGAGGAUCCGAGCGUUAUCCGGAUUUAUUGGGUUUAAAGGGAGCGUAGGUGGAGUGUUAAGUCAGUUGUGAAAGUUUGCGGCUCAACCGUAAAAUUGCAGUUGAAACUGGCAGUCUUGAGUACAGUAGAGGUGGGCGGAAUUCGUGGUGUAGCGGUGAAAUGCUUAGAUAUCACGAAGAACUCCGAUUGCGAAGGCAGUUCACUGGACUGCAACUGACACUGAGGCUCGAAAGUGUGGGUAUCAAACAGGAUUAGAUACCCUAGUUGUC
rnacentral:rRNA from 1 species